AUAUGGACUCUGCAGGAUUCGAACCUACAGUCAAACCGUUAUGAGCGGUUGGCUUUACCUUUAAGCUAAGAGUCC
rnacentral:tRNA from 1 species